AUACCAUCAAGAGAGAUUGAGGGACAGGCCCGAAGAUAUCUCAGCAACCUACUGAAAUGUGUGGUGCUAACUCCUGUUAGAUGGAAG
rnacentral:ncRNA from 24 species